rnacentral:rRNA from 1 species
UAAAGGCGGAAAGAACUACAGGAUUCCCCUAGAUUCCGGCUAGUAACGGCGCGUGAAGCGGGAAGAGCUCAAGCUUAAAAUCACUGCUGCAAGUUUUGCGUGGCGAAUUGUAGUCUAUAGAAGCGUGGUCAGCGCGGGCGCUUGUGGUAAGUUCCUUGGAAGAGGACAGCAUGGAGGGUGAUACUCCCGUUCAUACCUGAGUGGCUUGUGCGUACGACCCGUUUUCUUUGAGUCGCGUUGUUUGGGAAUGCAGCGCAAAGUAGGUGGUAAAUUCCAUCUAAAGCUAAAUAUUGGUGCGAGACCGAUAGCGAACAAGUACCGUGAGGGAAAGAUGAAAAGAACUUUGAAAAGAGAGUUAAAGAGUACCUGAAACUGCUGAAAGGGAACCGAAUCGUUUCCAGUGUCUAUAAUCUGUGGCAUAUUUCAUUGGCGAGUGUAUGCGUGCGUGUGCUUUGGCAGUGGCUUUUUUGGCUGCGCUGGGUGCGUGUUGUGCGUGUGUUUGCUGGUGCCCUGUGCUAUGGUGGGACGUCAAGGUCAGUUCGUGUGCUGCGGGAAAUGGCUGCUGAGGAGGUAGGGCUUACGCUUUGCGUUUGUCUAUUAUAUCUUGGUGGACGAGUCGUCGCGGUUGGGACUGAGGUGCCUACAACGUGCUUUUGAGUCUGUGGAACUCUCUGUGUGCGUGCUGUGUGGAUAGCUUGCUAUGUGCGUGGUGCUGUGCGUGGAUUGAGGUCUGCUGUAACUUGUUGCGACGUUCGGGACGUGACGAA